AUUGAACGCUGGCGGAAUGCUUUACACAUGCAAGUCGAACGGUAGAGGGGGCAACCCCUCGAGAGUGGCGAACGGGUGAGUAAUAUAUCGGAACGUGCCCAGUCGUGGGGGAUAACGUAGCGAAAGUUACGCUAAUACCGCAUACGAUCUAAGGAUGAAAGCGGGGGAUCGCAAGACCUCGCGCGAUUGGAGCGGCCGAUAUCAGAUUAGGUAGUUGGUGGGGUAAAGGCUCACCAAGCCAACGAUCUGUAGCUGGUCUGAGAGGACGACCAGCCAAACUGGAACUGAGACACGGUCCAGACUCCUACGGGAGGCAGCAGUGGGGAAUUUUGGACAAUGGACGCAAGUCUGAUCCAGCCAUUCCGCGUGCAGGUUGAAGGCCCUCGGGUUGUAAACUGCUUUUGUACGGAACGAAAAGGUCUCUCUUAAUACGGGGGACUCAUGACGGUACCGUAAGAAUAAGCACCGGCUAACUACGUGCCAGCCGCCGCGGUAA
rnacentral:rRNA from 1 species